rnacentral:rRNA from 1 species
UGGGCGAAAGCCUGAUGGAGCAACGCCGCGUGUGUGAUGAAGGUCUUCGGAUCGUAAAGCACUUUCGACCGGGACGAAAAACCUCUGGCUAACAUCCAGGGGCCUGACGGUACCGGGAGAAGAAGCACCGGCUAACUCUGUGCCAGCAGCCGCGGUAAUACAGAGGGUGCAAGCGUUGUUCGGAAUUAUUGGGCGUAAAGCGCGUGUAGGCGGCUUGGCAAGUCAGAUGUGAAAGCCCAUGGCUUAACCAUGGAAGUGCGUCUGAAACUGCUGAGCUUGAGUGCCGGAGAGGAUGGCGGAAUUCCGCAAGUAGAGGUGAAAUUCGUAGAUAUGCGGAGGAACACCGGUGGCGAAGGCGGCCAUCUGGACGGCAACUGACGCUGAGACGCGAAAGCGUGGGGAGCAAACAGGAUUAGAUACCCUGGUAGUCCACGCUGUAAACGAUGAGAACUAGGUGUCGUGGGUGUUGACCCCCGCGGUGCCGUAGCUAACGCAUUAAGUUCUCCGCCUGGGAAGUACGG